rnacentral:miRNA from 1 species
CAUCAGAGGGAUAGGAUGGAC